CCUACGGGGGGCAGCAGUGAGGAAUAUUGGUCAAUGGACGAGAGUCUGAACCAGCCAAGUAGCGUGAAGGAUGACUGCCCUAUGGGUUGUAAACUUCUUUUAUAAAGGAAUAAAACGAGGCACGUGUGCCUUUUUGCAUGUACUUUAUGAAUAAGGAUCGGCUAACUCCGUGCCAGCAGCCGCGGUAAUACGGAGGAUCCGAGCGUUAUCCGGAUUUAUUGGGUUUAAAGGGAGCGUAGAUGGGUUGUUAAGUCAGUUGUGAAAGUUUGCGGCUCAACCGUAAAAUUGCAAUUGAUACUGGCAGUCGUGAGUACAGUUGAGGUAGGAGGAAUUCGUGGUGUAGCGGUGAAAUGCUUAGAUAUCACGAAGAACCCCGAUUGCGAAGGCAGCUUACUAAACUGUGACUGACAUUGAUGCUCGAAAGUGUGGGUAUCAAACAGGAUUAGAUACCCCGGUAGUC
rnacentral:rRNA from 1 species